CAGUCGCCGCGGGAAUACGUAGGGUGCAAGCGUUACUCGGAAUUACUGGGCGUAAAGCGUGCGUAGGUGGUGGUUUAAGUCCGUUGUGAAAGCCCUGGGCUCAACCUGGGAAUUGCAGUGGAUACUGGGUCACUAGAGUGUGGUAGAGGAUAGUGGAAUUUCCGGUGUAGCAGUGAAAUGCGUAGAGAUCGGAAGGAACAUCUGUGGCGAAGGCGACUAUCUGGGCCAACACUGACACUGAGGCACGAAAGCGUGGGGAGCAAACAGGAUUAGAUACCCGCGUAGUCCCUGUCUCUUAUAC
rnacentral:rRNA from 1 species